UACAGAGGUGGCAAGCGUUGUUCGGAAUUACUGGGCGUAAAGGGCGCGUAGGUGGCCUUCUUAGUCAGACGUGAAAUCCCUGGGCUUAACUCAGGAACUGCGUCUGAUACUGGAAGGCUCGAGUUCGGGAGAGGAAUGUGGAAUUCCAGGUGUAGCGGUGAAAUGCGUAGAUAUCAGGAGGAACACCGGUGGCGAAGGCGGCUCUCUGGACCACAACUGACGCUGAGGCGCGAAAGCUAGGGGAGCAAACAGG
rnacentral:rRNA from 1 species